rnacentral:rRNA from 1 species
GACAGAGGGUGCAAACGUUGUUCGGAAUUACUGGGCGUAAAGCGCGUGUAGGCAGCUCAGCACGUCGGAUGUGAAAGCCCUGGGCUUAACCUAGGAAGUGCAUUCGAAACUUCUGAGCUUGAGUUCUGGAGAGGAAGGCGGAAUUCUCGGUGUAGAGGUGAAAUUCGUAGAUAUCGAGAGGAACACCGGUGGCGAAGGCGGCCUUCUGGACAGUGACUGACGCUGAGACGCGAAAGCGUGGGGAGCAAACAGG